rnacentral:rRNA from 1 species
UACGAAGGGUGCAAACGUUGCUCGGAAUUAUUGGGCGUAAAGCGCACGUAGGCGGCUUGGCAAGUCGGAUGUGAAAUCCCUCGGCUCAACCAAGGAAGUGCAUCCGAAACUGCUGAGCUUGAGUACUUAAGAGGAUCGCGGAAUUCCCGGUGUAGAGGUGAAAUUCGUAGAUAUCGUCAGGAAUGCCGGUGGUGAAGACGGGUGACUGGGCUGGUUCUGACACUGAGGCACGAAAGCGUUGGGAGCGAACGGG